rnacentral:lncRNA from 1 species
UUAAACUCUGUGAUAUUUUGAUCAAAGGUAAUCACUUAGAUGAGGGGAGACACCUAUGUUUUCGUGAUAAAAUGCCCAACUUGGAAUGUUUGAAACUUUGAUGAACUUUAGUUGAAUUUUCAAUGUAUGAGUACUUAUGGAUUAUUUUGAGAUAUUAUUGAUAGGGAUUAUAAAUUGAGAAGAAUUUAUUUUGAUUAUGAGUUGAGGAUUUUUGCUUGAGGACAAACAAAUGCUUAAGUGUGAAGGUAUUUGAUAAACCGUAAUUUAUACAUAUUUUUAUCCCAUGCUUAGCACAUUUAUGGAUGGUUUCUCCUUAGAAUUGGUGAAUUCGAUGCUCCUAAUCCUUUAAUUUCACGUUUUAUACUUAAGUGAGCAUAGGAGAGUAAAAAGAACGAGAAACGGGCCUAAAACAGAAAAAAUGGACCCACAUGCUUGGCAGGAUUGAAGCACGACUUACAUGGGUAUACUACACGCCCGUGCCUGUUCAACAGCCUUGGCCACGGGCUGUAGUAAUCGUACACGGGCGUGUCACAUGGGCGUGUCCCUGCCGAGCCCAAGUAUAACCCUAUUAAAAAAAGGCUAAUUUUGGGGGCUCUUAAGCAUUCUAAAGCCUAUUUAAACACCUGAGGAGACACUUAGAAGGGGGACGCAGAGUAAGAAGUAAGAAAUUACUCAAGGGAAGCCGAUUGAUCCAUCUCAGAAUCCG